UUAAGCGACUAAGCGUACACGGUGGAUGCCCUGGCAGUCAGAGGCGAUGAAGGACGUGCUAAUCUGCGAAAAGCGUCGGUAAGGUGAUAUGAACCGUUAUAGCCGGCGAUGUCCGAAUGGGGAAACCCAGUGUGAUUCGUCACACUAUCGUUAACUGAAUACAUAGGUUAACGAGGCGAACCGGGGGAACUGAAACAUCUAAGUACCCCGAGGAAAAGAAAUCAACCGAGAUUCCCCCAGUAGCGGCGAGCGAACGGGGAGCAGCCCAGAGUCUGAAUCAGCUUGUGUAUUAGUGGAACGGUCUGGAAAGUCCGACGGUACAGGGUGAUAGUCCCGUACACCAAAAUGCACAGGCUGUGAACUCGAAGAGUAGGGCGGGACACGUGGUAUCCUGUCUGAAUAUGGGGGGACCAUCCUCCAAGGCUAAAUACUCCUGACUGACCGAUAGUAAACCAGUACCGUGAGGGAAAGGCGAAAAGAACCCCGGCGAGGGGAGUGAAAAAGAACCUGAAACCGUGUACGUACAAGCAGUGGGAGCACCUUCGGGUGUGACUGCGUACCUUUUGUAUAAUGGGUCAGCGACUUAUAUUCUGUAGCAAGGUUAACCGUAUAGGGGAGCCGCAGGGAAACCGAGUCUUAACUGGGCGUUAAGUUGCAGGGUAUAGACCCGAAACCCGGUGAUCUAGCCAUGGGCAGGUUGAAGGUUGGGUAACACUAACUGGAGGACCGAACCGACUAAUGUUGAAAAAUUAGCGGAUGACUUGUGGCUGGGGGUGAAAGGCCAAUCAAACCGGGAGAUAGCUGGUUCUCCCCGAAAGCUAUUUAGGUAGCGCCUCGUGAAUUCAUCUUCGGGGGUAGAGCACUGUUUCGGCUAGGGGGUCAUCCCGACUUACCAACCCGAUGCAAACUACGAAUACCGAAGAAUGUUAUCACGGGAGACACACGGCGGGUGCUAACGUCCGUCGUGAAGAGGGAAACAACCCAGACCGCCAGCUAAGGUCCCAAAGUCAUGGUUAAGUGGGAAACGAUGUGGGAAGGCACAGACAGCCAGGAUGUUGGCUUAGAAGCAGCCAUCAUUUAAAGAAAGCGUAAUAGCUCACUGGUCGAGUCGGCCUGCGCGGAAGAUGUAACGGGGCUAAACCAUGCACCGAAGCUGCGGCAGCGACACUAUGUGUUGUUGGGUAGGGGAGCGUUCUGUAAGCCUGCGAAGGUGACCUGUGAGGGUUGCUGGAGGUAUCAGAAGUGCGAAUGCUGACAUAAGUAACGAUAAAGCGGGUGAAAAGCCCGCUCGCCGGAAGACCAAGGGUUCCUGUCCAACGUUAAUCGGGGCAGGGUGAGUCGACCCCUAAGGCGAGGCCGAAAGGCGUAGUCGAUGGGAAACAGGUUAAUAUUCCUGUACUUGGUGUUACUGCGAAGGGGGGACGGAGAAGGCUAUGUUAGCCGGGCGACGGUUGUCCCGGUUUAAGCAUGUAGGCUGGUUGUCCAGGCAAAUCCGGAUAAUCAAGGCUGAGGUGUGAUGACGAGGCACUACGGUGCUGAAGUAACAAAUGCCCUGCUUCCAGGAAAAGCCUCUAAGCAUCAGGUAACAUCAAAUCGUACCCCAAACCGACACAGGUGGUCAGGUAGAGAAUACCAAGGCGCUUGAGAGAACUCGGGUGAAGGAACUAGGCAAAAUGGUGCCGUAACUUCGGGAGAAGGCACGCUGGUGUGUAGGUGAAGUCCCUGCGGAUGGAGCUGAGACCAGUCGAAGAUACCAGCUGGCUGCAACUGUUUAUUAAAAACACAGCACUGUGCAAACACGAAAGUGGACGUAUACGGUGUGACGCCUGCCCGGUGCCGGAAGGUUAAUUGAUGGGGUUAUCCGUAAGGAGAAGCUCUUGAUCGAAGCCCCGGUAAACGGCGGCCGUAACUAUAACGGUCCUAAGGUAGCGAAAUUCCUUGUCGGGUAAGUUCCGACCUGCACGAAUGGCGUAAUGAUGGCCAGGCUGUCUCCACCCGAGACUCAGUGAAAUUGAACUCGCUGUGAAGAUGCAGUGUACCCGCGGCAAGACGGAAAGACCCCGUGAACCUUUACUAUAGCUUGACACUGAACAUUGAGCCUUGAUGUGUAGGAUAGGUGGGAGGCUUUGAAGCGUGGACGCCAGUCUGCGUGGAGCCAACCUUGAAAUACCACCCUUUAAUGUUUGAUGUUCUAACGUUGGCCCCUGACCGGGGUUGCGGACAGUGUCUGGUGGGUAGUUUGACUGGGGCGGUCUCCUCCCAAAGCGUAACGGAGGAGCACGAAGGUUAGCUAAUCCUGGUCGGACAUCAGGAGGUUAGUGCAAUGGCAUAAGCUAGCUUGACUGCGAGCGUGACGGCGCGAGCAGGUGCGAAAGCAGGUCAUAGUGAUCCGGUGGUUCUGAAUGGAAGGGCCAUCGCUCAACGGAUAAAAGGUACUCCGGGGAUAACAGGCUGAUACCGCCCAAGAGUUCAUAUCGACGGCGGUGUUUGGCACCUCGAUGUCGGCUCAUCACAUCCUGGGGCUGAAGUAGGUCCCAAGGGUAUGGCUGUUCGCCAUUUAAAGUGGUACGCGAGCUGGGUUUAGAACGUCGUGAGACAGUUCGGUCCCUAUCUGCCGUGGGCGCUGGAGAAUUGAGGGGGGCUGCUCCUAGUACGAGAGGACCGGAGUGGACGCAUCACUGGUGUUCGGGUUGUCAUGCCAAUGGCACUGCCCGGUAGCUAAAUGCGGAAGAGAUAAGUGCUGAAAGCAUCUAAGCACGAAACUUGCCCCGAGAUGAGUUCUCCCUGAGACUUUAAGUCUCCUGAAGGAACGUUGAAGACGACGACGUUGAUAGGCCGGGUGUGUAAGCGCAGCGAUGCGUUGAGCUAACCGGUACUAAUGAACCGUGAGGCUUAACCUU
rnacentral:rRNA from 1 species